rnacentral:lncRNA from 10 species
CAGGACGAUGCCGAUGAUCACGCCUAUACGCCGGGAGUCUGUGGAGAGAAGUGGAGGCAGCUCCAGGCCAAGAGAACAACAGCUCAUUCCUGAGAUAAGGAUCCUGCUGCCAUCUGCCAGAUCCUGAGGCUGCUCAAGGCAAGCCAGGGAUGAGCCAGAACUCGGCUGAGAGCAGAGGCUCCACCCUGGAGAAGCACCGCUGGAAGCACCCACACAGGAAGGACUCUCUCCAUGCCAUAGGAGCCUGCCAGGCAGGAUGGUUUUAUAAAGGUCUGGUCCAGGAGACUACUGGGGUUCCCCCUGUGACCCCAGAGAGAGAGAAGAAAGAGAUUGGGAGAGAUAGUGAUGAGUUAAGGGGCAAAGACAGAGACAGGGACAGAGGCAGACAGAAAGACACAUGGUCUAAAUGGCCCCUCCAGAGACUCAGAGGGAUACAGAGGAGGCAGAGGGCCCAGGCCACGAGCUGGGAACCAAUACAAAUUUCCAAAAGGGCCCCUUGCUUUUUCCUAAGAAAUCCAUGACUCUCCAGGGAAGAAUGGCCCUGCUUUGACUGGUAUUUGCUUCUAUUCUAAGACAGUAACAGAAAAUCAAAGACUGGCUUAGAAAGGAGUAAACAGGGAGAUACAGGAGGUAGGAAGAGGCUGGACAAAAACUCAGAGAAGGCCACAGAUUGCUUACCAGAUGAAGUGCAGCCCAGCCCCAGAACCUUUCUGGGAAGGACGGACAGAGGGCUUGGGCUGCCUACUCUUCCUCCAAAGCCUAUUCUUCCUCCAAAGUCCCUUUCAUGGCAACUCCACCCCACUCCUCUAAGCCCUGCCCUCCCCUGCCUGUACUUGCCCACCCCAACCCCUCUCAGUGGCCGCCAGACUCCCUGGGCUCAGGCUCAAUCAAGCUCCCCACAACCCCUGCCUUGGCUGGCACUGCAAUUUGACUCAUUCUAAACUCCUCCCCACACAGUCAGCAAGCUCCUCAGCCCCCUCUCCCAAGUCCCCAUGUAGCCCAGGGCUCACCCUGCAGCACCCAGGGAGGAGCUGUCCUGCAGAGGAAACCUCUGAGGUAAGACUCUGGGAGCAGAAGCUGUGAGUGACAAUGGAUAGGCAAAGAGUCACAGAGAAGCCAAGGAGCCUUGCAGCUGCUGUCUGUCCACCCAGCUUUCAGUGAUGAUUUGGAGGUGGAGGUCUGCCAGGUGAGGCCAUGGUUGCAUGAGAAGGGCAGGGGGCUCAGAGGUUGCAUGGGUGGUGAUGGGACAACGUCGGAUUCUGGUUACAGAGAGGGAUGAGAUCGACAUGUGGGGCUAAGUUUGAGGGUGUGGGUUGGGUUCGAAACUAAGGCUCAAAUCAAAGCUGGCAGGGAAGAGCCGUGAACACAGGUGACACAGGGACUCCCCAAGCUCCUGCUUAGGUUUCCCAAACCUCAGUGGUUCUGACUGGUACACUUCAGAAGAAGUGGGAUUCUAGGAGGAGCCUGGAUAUGCCCACAUCUCUCCCAUCAAGCAAUGUCCUGAAGCUGACAGACUCAGAAGAGCAAGCAGCACACACAUAGUCCCCAUCAAUUAAAGGAGUGGCUGGAGUUGUCACUACAUCAACAAAGCACAAGAGCAAAGGGAGGCGAUUGAAUGCCACCAACUGAAUUGUUAGCAAGAGAAUGAGUGGAGGCGAGAAGAAAUCGCUUGUAAAGGCUAUGUGAUUCCCUGAUGACAGAUCUGAGGAAGAAUGAAGAGGCUUUGAAGAUAAAGGUAUCUUCACCUCGCCAAGAUCAACCACAUCCUGCAGAACCUUCAUUCAUUCAGCAAACAGCCAGGCUUUGUGCUAGGCCCUGGGGAAAUGGCAAUUAAGGAGACUCAGUCCCUAUCCUCACAGAACACCCCAUCUGACACGGAAAUAGCUCCUGGCCCGCAAUGUGGUAAGAUGCAGUAAUACGUGCAAGGCCCCUGACUUAGUGGCAAUGAUGUUUAAGCCGAGAUCUGAAGGAUAACUAACAACGGCGUGCCAGAGAAAAGAGUAGCGGGUGGAGAGAGGAGGCCAGGGGAAUAUUUCUGGGCUUGGUAAGUAAGCCAGGUCCCUGCCAGACAUGGACUGAGAAGAGCAAAGCCAGGAGUGACAGCUGACGAUUAUUUUUUAACUGAGGAAGGAAGAUCCUUGAGAACGGAACCUCUUGGGACCUUCUACCCAGAACACCAGAGCACCUCACUGGGAUCAGAGCCAGGCCAUCGGGUGGAUUAAGCAACUAAAAUUGAUUGUCCUGAACCAUGAGUCUGUCUGUUUAUGGGGAGAGAAACUUUGAGAUGAAUUAAUCCACAGGUCCAAUGGGACUUUGACAUUUUAAUUUGUAGAAAUAAAACUUGCCUUUGAUUUUGCCAUCUGGAUUCCCCAAACACGUAUCUACAGAGUGGAACUGUGGUGCCCCUUGACCUGCAGGGUGGCCCCAGGCCUGCCUUGCCCCGCUGGCAGUUGCCCAGGAAGGUGUGUAGGAG